UACGUAGGGGGCAAGCGUUGUCCGGAAUCAUUGGGCGUAAAGAGCGUGUAGGCGGCCCGGUAAGUCCGCCGUGAAAGUCCAGGGCUCAACCCUGGAAUGCCGGUGGAUACUGUCGGGCUAGAGUCCGGAAGAGGAGAGUGGAAUUCCUGGUGUAGCGGUGAAAUGCGCAGAUAUCAGGAAGAACACCCGUGGCUAAGGCGGCUCUCUAGUACGGUACUGACGCUGAGACGCGAAAGCGUGGGGAGCGAACAGG
rnacentral:rRNA from 1 species